UUUUUAUUCGGUGAUGGGGUUCACCGCUAACCGCCGACGUGCUGAUAACUCCUACCAGCGU
rnacentral:ncRNA from 1 species